rnacentral:misc_RNA from 1 species
AACACUGUUAACCUGCGGUACCUGCGGAAGGAUCAUUACCGAGUUUACAACUCCCAAACCCCUGUGAACAUACCUAUACGUUGCCUCGGCGGAUCAGCCCGCGCCCCGUAAAAAGGGACGGCCCGCCCGAGGACCCCUAAACUCUGUUUUUAGUGGAACUUCUGAGUAAAACAAACAAAUAAAUCAAAACUUUCAGCAACGGAUCU